UGCAAGUCGAACGAGAACGGGUUAAAGCUUGCUUUAACUGUCAGCUAAGUGGCGCACGGGUGAGUAAUAUAUAGGUAACGUGCCUUCGAGAUGGGGAUAACGUUUGGAAACGAACGCUAAGACCCGAUAUGCCUUUAAGUCUUAAGACUGCAAGGGAAAUAUUUAUAGCUCGAAGAUCGGCCUGUACAGUAUCAGUUAGUUGGUGAGGUAAUGGCUCACCAAGACAAUGACGCUUAACUGGUUUGAGAGGAUGAUCAGUCACACUGGAACUGAGACACGGUCCAGACUCCUACGGGAGGCAGCAGUGGGGAAUAUUGCACAAUGGACGAAAGUCUGAUGCAGCAACGCCGCGUGGAGGAUGACACAUUUCGGUGCGUAAACUCCUUUUAUAUAGGAAGAUAAUGACGGUACUAUAUGAAUAAGCACCGGCUAACUCCGUGCCAGCAGCCGCGGUAAUACGGAGGGUGCAAGCGUUACUCGGAAUCACUGGGCGUAAAGAGAAUGUAGGCGGAUAAUUAAGUUUGAAGUGAAAUCCAAUGGCUCAACCAUUGAACUGCUUUGAAAACUGAUAAUCUAGAAUAUGGGAGAGGUAGAUGGAAUUUCUGGUGUAGGGGUAAAAUCCGUAGAGAUCAGAAGGAAUACCGAUUGCGAAGGCGAUCUACUGGAACAUUAUUGACGCUGAGAUUCGAAAGCGUGGGGAGCAAACAGGAUUAGAUACCCUGGUAGUCCACGCCCUAAACGAUGCACACUAGUUGUUGUGAGGCUAGACCUUGCAGUAAUGCAGUUAACACAUUAAGUGUGCCGCCUGGGGAGUACGGUCGCAAGAUUAAAACUCAAAGGAAUAGACGGGGACCCGCACAAGCGGUGGAGCAUGUGGUUUAAUUCGACGAUACGCGAA
rnacentral:rRNA from 1 species